UAUCUCUGUAGAGUCUGCAUAUCAAUAAGCGGAGGAAAAGAAACUAACUAGGAUUCCCUCAGUAACGGCGAGUGAAGCGGGAAGAGCUCAAAUUUGAAAUCUUCAAGGUUCUACCUUGACGAAUUGUAGUUUAAAGAAGUGUUUUCUGUUGGAGUUUUGGUAAAAGUUCUUUGGAAUAGGACAUCAUAGAGGGUGAGAAUCCCGUAUUUGACCAUUAUUUCCAGCUUUGUGAUACACUUUCAAAGAGUCGGAUUGUUUGGGAAUGCAGUCCAAAAUGGGUGGUAAAUUUCAUCUAAAGCUAAAUAUUGGCGAGAGACCGAUAGCGAACAAGUACCGUGAGGGAAAGAUGAAAAGAACUUUGAAAAGAGAGUUAAACAGUACGUGAAAUUGUCAAAAGGGAAGCGUUUGACACCAGUGUUGUUUUCUCGAAAAUCAAUUAAAAAAGGCAGGAUUUUGUGUUGUAUUGACUUUAUCAGCUUUCUGCACUCUUUUCUUGUCUUUUUUUAAUGCACUUUUCGUUUAACAAGUCAACAUCAAUUUCUUUUGUUGUAAAAGGGUCAUUGGAAGGUGGCUUUCUUUUCGGAGAAAGUGUUUAUAGCCUUUGGCCUCUGCAAUCGGAGAGAUUGAGGUCUGCAGCGUAGAUCCUUCGGGGUUAGAUACAUUUGUGCUAAGUUAUAGCCUCUCAUAGACAACUUGUUGACUAUGAUCAGUCAUGUAGCUUACUCGCUUAUGCUAUUUUACCUACGCUUAGGAUGUUGAUAGUCACAGCGUGUAC
rnacentral:rRNA from 1 species